GGAAAAGUAAUAAAAUGGUUACUUAAGCAUUUACUUAAUUUCUAUCACGAAAUAAAUGCGUUUAAUAUUUUAGAUACAGAUACAAUAUAGUGCAUUCGUAAAUGUAAAACACUUUUUAAUAGAAAAUUUAAAAGAGAUACAUCAACAGUGUUUAUUUUAGAAUUGCUCAAGUCUGUAGGGCUUAUUCCCGAUUGUCCCACUUUUUUUAAAUUAAGAGCUCAUAUUGUCCCACAUGAAAAGUUCUGACUGGUCCACAUUAUUUUAUGAGGCGAAAUGUUCUUAUCCCUUGUUAGAUUGUCUCUAUGGUUUUGUUUCAGAUAUAUAAGCCAAAAUCUACAUUUUAUGCGAUGCUCUUCUUUUAGACAUUGCGGCCAUCUUAAUUAUUGGGCGGGGUCAUCGGAUACUUUUU
rnacentral:lncRNA from 1 species